rnacentral:rRNA from 1 species
AGAUGUUAUUACCAGUACUAAUGCACCGGAUCCCAUCAGAACUCCGCAGUUAAGCGUGCUUGGGCGAGAGUAGUAAUAGGAUUGGUUGACCAUGCACGAUGCAGUUG